rnacentral:rRNA from 1 species
GAUGAACGCUGCCAGAAUGCUUAACACAUGCAAGUCUACUUGAACUUCGGUUUGGGUGGCGGACGGGUGAGUAACGCGUAAAGAACUUACCUCACAGUUAGGGACAACAUUUGGAAACGAAUGCUAAUACCUGAUAUUAUGAUUUUAGGGCAUCCUAAGAUUAUGAAAGCUAUAUGCGCUGUGAGAGAGCUUUGCGUCCCAUUAGCUAGUUGGAGAGGUAACGGCUCACCAAGGCGAUGAUGGGUAGCCGGCCUGAGAGGGUGAACGGCCACAAGGGGACUGAGACACGGCCCUUACUCCUACGGGAGGCAGCAGUGGGGAAUAUUGGACAAUGGACCAAAAGUCUGAUCCAGCAAUUCUGUGUGCACGAUGACGUUUUUCGGAAUGUAAAGUGCUUUCAGUUGGGAAGAAAAAAAUGACGGUACCAACAGAAGAAGUGACGGCUAAAUACGUG